GUUUCUUUGGUUUUUGGCGAUUUACAAAAGAAAGCGGUCCAUUCUAGUAUCUGGAGAAGGUGUGUGUCAGUUCUGACUAUUAAAGCCUAGACUCAUCCAGUUCCAUGUACUAAUGACAAUUACCUUUCAACUAUGAGAAGGAACUGCCAAGAAUGGACAGGAAAACCUGCCCUCAUUCUGGUGAUAUCUGCUGAAGGCAUGAGCUGGUGAUCACAGAGGGGAAAUGGAAGACAGCUGUGCUCAUCACUAUUCCACCAAUACAAAUGCAGAAAGGACAUGAGAUA